AGUAGCUCAAUUGGUAGAGCACCGGUCUCCAAAACCGGGGGUUGGGGGUUCGAUUCCCUCCUG
rnacentral:tRNA from 1 species